UACGGGGGGGGGCAAGCGUUGUUCGGAAUUACUGGGCGUAAAGCGCGCGUAGGCGGCCUUUCAAGUCAGACGUGAAAGCCCCAGGCUUAACCUGGGAAUUGCGUUUGAUACUGUUAGGCUAGAGUGUGGAAGGGGCUACUGGAAUUCCGUGUGUAGCGGUGAAAUGCGUAGAUAUCAGGAGGAACACCGAUGGCGAAGGCAGGUCUCUGGGCCAUAACUGACGCUGAGAAGCGAAAGCAUGGGGAGCGAACAGG
rnacentral:rRNA from 1 species